UUGAGUGGGUACCAUCUUGAGUGG
rnacentral:piRNA from 1 species